rnacentral:rRNA from 1 species
GACGUAGGGCGCGAGCGUUGUCCGGAUUUAUUGGGCGUAAAGAGCUCGUAGGCGGCUUGUCGCGUCGACUGUGAAAACCCGAGGCUCAACUUCGGGCUUGCAGUCGAUACGGGCAGGCUAGAGUUCGGUAGGGGAGACUGGAAUUCCUGGUGUAGCGGUGAAAUGCGCAGAUAUCAGGAGGAACACCGAUGGCGAAGGCAGGUCUCUGGGCCGAUACUGACGCUGAGACGCGAAAGCGUGGGGAGCGAACCGG